UUAUCUGGUAGAAGUUAUCGAACGUGGUCAUUUAAUCUGACACUAGUUAUCUAACUUGACAAUGAUAUUUUUUCUUCUUAGGCAUGUUUCUGUAAUAAAAAAUAAUGAACUAAAAUCCUUCUGAGGGGCAUUCUUUUUCAAUUUGCUUGGUGUAAAAUAAAUCAUAAUUGUUUUUUUUUUAGAAGAUAAUUCGAAAUACAUAUUUUAUUGUAGAGUAAUGGUACUUACAUUGUGCAAGUUGCGUUGUGCAGUACGAACGUGGUAUAGUAGGUGAUAAAUCAUGAAACCAAAAAUAAAUUAAUCCAAGAAAAAAAUAUAACAAUACAACCACAUGCAAAGUUACUUAUAAAAAACUUUUUAUUCUAGUUUUUUUUUAUCUUGAUAUUUCAUGAAGGUAUGUCACAAUCAGAUGAUAUCGGACAUUUUACGAGUUUUAAAUAGUUUUCAUGCAAAAUAAAGGAAAUUUUAAAAAUGUAGUUAAAUGACUUUUCAAUUGUGAAAUAUGACUGAUAAAGAAAGAAGUUAAUAAAUCAUUAUGAAGGGAAGAAAAAAGUAAACAACUGCAGUAUAUUAUCUAGAUAAAAGAACUUAGAUUACAGGUGUUAUAAUAAACAAUGGCAUGCGGGAUGUUCCAAUUUGCAGGUAUAAUAUUUCAUGUAUCAAUGAUAAGCUAAUUUGUGUCUUACAUACUUAAGAUGUUAAAAAUUAAUAACGCCGAGCUCACCUGUUAAUUAAUGCUAAAUUAUGCAGAGAUGCAAUAAAUUUUCUAAUUAGAAACAGUUAAAACUUUCCCACAUUCGCAUUUUAUGUAUUUUAACACCAAAGGAAUACUUUUGCGACCUAUAGACUACUGCUCUUCGAGAAAAAAAGGAAGGAACAGUUUUGCUGUUGCGUAUGGUAAUUUGCGGCAACGCUUAAUAAUGGCAAACUGCAUUACCAAACAACGAUUUAGUAUAAAAAAAAGUAUUUACAAAAAAUAAAUGAAUAACAUCGUACAUGUCGUAUAUAAAAAGGCACAAUCAAUCCCAAUCGUAAGUCUUUGUAUAUAUUUCUUGUCUGUUAUUUCCAACUUCGUCGGUGUCGAACUUGACUGAACAAAAUGGCGUCAAUGUGAACUAUAAACAUGGGAUUUUGAAAAAUCAUAGCAAAUUCGUUUUUAUCACCAUUUUCAUAAAACCAACACUAUUUGAUAGAAAAAAGAUUAAGCUUUAAAAUUGUAUGUCAAUGUCACAUCUAUUUCAAGCAGUUAUUUAAC
rnacentral:lncRNA from 1 species